AGCUCCCACCUAAUCCGCCACCAGAUGAUCCACACCGGGGAAUGGCCGCACAAAUGUGGGGAGUGUGGGAAGGGCUUCAGCUGCAGAUCCACCCUGGCGACCCACCAACGCAUCCACACCGGGGAGAGGCCCUAUGAGUGUCCUGAGUGUCAGAAGAGAUUUCAGAGCAGCUCCAGUCUCCUCCUGCACCAGCGGAUUCACACCGAUGAGAGGCCCUUCUGCUGCCCUGAUUGUGGGAAGGGCUUCAAGCGCAACUCCAACCUUGUCACGCACCGGCUCAUCCACACCAGGGAGAGGCCCUACGAGUGCCCCACGUGUGGGAAGAGGUUUCAGACCAGCUCCAACCUCCACCUGCAUGAGCGGAUUCACACAGAUGAGAGGCCCUUCCGCUGCCCCGACUGCGGGAAGGGCUUCAAGCAAAACUCCCACCUCGUCAGGCACCGGCGCAUCCACACUGGGGAGAGGCCCUACAAGUACCCCACAUGUGGGAAGAGCUUCACCCAGAGCUCUGACUUGGCCAGCCAGGAGUCACCGGUAAGGGAUGUCCUGCCAGUGCCCCAACUGCAGGAAGAGAUUGAUGAACUGCUCCAGCUUCUUCCCCCAUUGGAGGACCCAUUUUGGAAAGAGCCCUGUGACCCAUGGUGGGAAGACAUCUGUUAAUUUUCCUGCCCCUGCCAAUGACAUGUUGUGGGAUUGAAGAACAUGAGGGUCUGGCCAUGGCCCUGUCAUCACAUUCACUUCCACCUCAGGUCAUUGCCAGGGGCAGGAAAGGGACUCUCUCUCUCUCUCUCCCUGAGUGUGGUAUUCACAUGCCUUCUGAACAUGUGAAUGUUCAAAGCUGUGACACAAGAAGAGAAGAAGGAAAACAUAAUUCUUACCUCUCUUGCUGUGCCUGUGUUGUGCUAAAGUAGAAUGCAAUAUGGAGAUUGUUUACUGUUGUGUUGUGUUUUUCAGGUUCUUAGUUAUGUUAAGUUGUAUAUUGUAAGUUGGUUUGUUUCACUCGCCCCUGUGGUUGUGUAAUGGUUCUACCCAGGUUGUCUCCUACCCCGCAAUCCUUGUCAGUCUCCCUGAGUUCAUCGCUGGACCCUGUGGAAAGUGGACUCUGGGCUCCUGCAGAUCUGCAUCUGGACCUGCUGUGGGAGUUACCUCUUGAGACCACCUGUCUGCGAAACUUCCUCCAGUAGGAGCAGACCCGUCUGGUGGGUGUCACUCCUGGAGGCUCGGGGAGGCAGCUCCUGCACCCGAGGAGUCUUCCCCUGACAGGACACAUUUGGUCUUUUGUUCACCUAACACCGCAUUUUUACUGAGAGGGGGUCUGAGUCAAAACAACGUUGAAUUCUGCGCCUGAGACUGUAAGUGGUCUCCUCUCCCUUUCUCUCCUUCUUGUUCCCCUGUCUCUCUACCCCAGAUCCUUUCAAUUGUUGAAGGGUCGGGGCGUUCUGAGCCCCUUUCGUUUACUUUGAGCCAGGUCUUUUUAACUUAGCACCUUUGCCUCUUUUCUGUGCUGCACAGCCACUGUCUUUUUUGAUAGGGGCAAGUGUGGAUCUUUCUGCCUUUUCCUUUUCAUUUUCCCGAGGGUGGUGGGUGUUGGUUCCCUCUCUUAACAUCAUAAGCCAUCAGUGUGAGGCUUUCUGAGUUCCAGAAAACAACGUUUAUCCAAGUUGCGGGAAUCCUUGCAGGUGGCGAUGUUCAUGUUAAAAAGUGAGAAUUAAGAAAGUUAAUUGUUUGGUUGUUUUCUCACUUCCUGGAGGUUACCACUGGCCAAUUGUAUGAGGUCAAUUUUUGGGAUGUAGUCAUUGCAAAGUUGGCAGAAUUAGGACGGUCAGGGGACUCCUCCCUUUCUAAGAUCUUUCUCUGUGUCCGUCAAGUUAGAGCCAUUUUAAAUUUAAGGUGGGAACGGAGAAAACAACCAUCAGUUAACACUUCAAUCCCCAGUUCAUGCGGUUCUCUCCGUCCUACCCCUCUUCCUUCUCCCGUGGGCCCAAAAGGUGAAAUCUUGAAGGGAGCUUCCACAGUUGUCACAAAUCGGGGUCCCCAUCUCCCCAGCUCUCUCCAAGGUUCUUGCCCCUGCCGCCCGAGAAGUCCUGGCCAAACUUCUUGGGACCUUCCCCUUCCUGAGCCUUUUCCAGUUUGCAAAUCUCCAUCCCGAGUUUGCUUUAAUCUCCCAGAUCCUUAUCCCUCACAAAAUGGCUUCUGUGAAGCCCAAUAUGGCGGAAGUCUCGUGGCUUUUCCCGCCAACCCAGUCUCCUCUCUCUAUAAACCCUUUCGUAUGUUGAACAACCCCUUUCUUAUUUAGACUCCUCCCAUUCCCCUGCUCCUUCCCUUGUCCCUCUGCCAGUCCCUCCUCCGAAAUCCCUGCUCCAUGUUACAUCCCUGAGGUGGAAACUGGAACAUCAGGCAUCAGGUCUCCCCGCCUAGUCCCUUAGCUCCUCCCCUCGCCCUCCUCUUUCUGGUUCCCAUGCUUUGGCUUGUGGGGGGCAAGAGGUGGGACACCGGAAACUGGAGCCAAUGCCCACAAUAUCAGCGGCUCCAGUCUCAUACCAUCUGGAGAGGGAGGGCAGGACACGAGCCCAAUGGACCCCAGUUUCUGCACCACGUAAUUAAAGAACUUUGCAAGGCCCAAAAAGAUUUUGGUAGAGAUAGUGAACAUUUCUGGGGAAUCUUAAGGGCCACUCUCACGGAGUCAGAGGUAACCCCGGCCAAUCUCAAACAUUUGUUUUCCUCCCUCCUCAAUCCCACCAAGUACACCAUGUUGGAGGGAGUAUGGAAAAAGGCAGCUCGGGAAAUCCUCCCGACUCUGUGGAAGAAUUCCCAGACUGGUGCAGACUUGAAAGGAGAGCCCAUCUCUAUUGAUCAUCUUUGUGGCCUGACAAACUGGGCACAAGGGCAGGUUCAAGCCGAAGUACAACCUCGAGAGGCUUUAAAAGAAGCCGUGUAGUUGGCUGAAAAGGCAUUCCUUGCUUUGCAAGUUGAGGCUCCCUUGUUAACAUACUCUAAAAUUUUUCAGUCUCCAUCUGAGCCUUUUACAACCUUUGUAUAAUGCCUCUGGAAGGCAGUGGAGUUGCAGGUUUGGGGUGAGGAGGCUUGUCAAGAGAUUUUAUCUGAGAUGGCAUCAGCUAACACCAAUCCCAGGUGUAAGGUGGCCAUCCUCAGCCUCCCAUUAGAACGCCUCCCCCACCUUGCAACUCAUGCUUGAAGUUUGUGCAAAAAAGUUUUCUGUGCUUCCGGAGGAACCUACUCAAAAAGAUCAUACACCAAGAACUGCUCUCAAAGUUGCUUUUGCCAAACCUCCCAUUGAUGUUUAUCCUACUUUGUCUCCAGGCACGCAAACCAUGCCAAGACCUGCUGGCCCGCCACCGCCCGAGGAUUGCCUGUGUCAUCUCUGUGUUAAGCCAUGCCACUGGGCCCUGGCUUGCCCACUGCAGCAACAAUUUCUUUAAUUUAGAUAGAGCCAGUCGCUUUUUGAGGAGGGGUCAAAAAAAAAUAUUUCUAAGUGCAGCCCCUCCCUUUGUGACAACAAAAUUAAGGCAGAACAAUUAAGUGUCCUGUGGGGAGGGCAGGGGAGGAGACCCCUUCAGACACAUCCCACUUGUUGCUGACAUAAUUGACAUGACUUUACCUGAUGUGAUUUCCAAUGUUUCACCGGACAUGACUUUUAAAGAUUCAACAUCUGCAACACCUAUAUACUUAAACCAAAAACCCAUUCUGACAACAUUAUCUAAACUUUCUCCCUUCAGACUCCAGUUGACAAAGCCCGUCCAUCUCCGAAACUCUAAUUUCCAUGCAGUAACGGUUUCGCCCAAGACCCCAGGUACUUGGCACUGGAUCCGUUGCAGGUCAAACCAUGGUGGAAGAGGUCUCAGCAGAGUCUCAACACUCGAACAUCAGCGAGAGACAGUGAACAUAGACCCUCCCCAGAUGGGGUUGUCCAAAGCGAUUUUCAGAUUAAACUUCUUAAACUGCAGUUUUGAAAAUUUGAAUCCACCCAUGACUCGGUGUUACCACGCAAACCCUCUACUGGAGCUGAAGGACAGGUCCUGGGUCAUGUAAACCCAAACCUAAUGGCCCUCAUCUGGCUUUGGAUCACCGUCAUCCUGGUUUUCAUCUGGUCCACCAUACCACCUGUUGAUAUGUGGAUCAUCCCCCAGCCAAAAGUUCACAUCUGGAAAGCGCUCAUCAAGGUCCUUGGCCAGGAUCUUCUUUGUUUGACCACCGUUUCAGCAGCAGACCCCUUGUCGACCUGCCUUGUGGGGAUCCCUUCAAACCUAGAUGAGUUUCUUCCCCCUCUCAACAGUUCCCUGAAACUCCUUGCGCAUUAGAAAGUUACUUCUCCCCUGGAAUUAACCCUAACCUUGUCUGGAGAAAUCUCCUCCCCAAAUUAAAUCAUUCAGAUUCUGAACCCCUUGAGUUUACCUUGCUUGGCUCCAUGCCAGCCUCAGUUUGUGUCCAAUUUCUGUUUUCCCCAGACGCCCUUGAUAAAUCCUACCUCCCAGUCCUUCAACACAAUCAAGAUUACACUGCUGGAAACUGGUGCAACGCCAUUUCCCAAAUUUCCAUGGCUUCGACUUAUGACCACAAAUCCCGAUCCCUUCCCCGGGGAAUUUUCUUAAUUUGUGGAGACCCAGCUUGGGCAGGCAUCCCCUCUCGCCUGAUAGGAGGCCCUUGUUCCUUUGGGAGGCUGACGCUGUUUGCACCCAACAAUACUCAAAUUUCAAAUUGGAAAUCUAGAAACGUCACACACAAUUCAGCCCAUUCCUGGAGAAACCUUCAAGAAUUAGAUUCUAAAUGUGACUUGGAAAUUGUUGAUUGGUCCAAACCUAAAGGUUUUGCAAUCACAGUCCUUUUACCUUGGAUGGCUGCGACAAAAGCUGCAGGUGAAUUAGCUCACCUAGAGUUUUGGGUAGCCAAACAAGCAAACUUAAUCUCAGCAGUCCUGAGCGACCUCCUAUCAGAUGAAGAAAUAACAAGGCAGGCAACCCUUCAGAACAGGGCAGCAACUGAUUUCCUGAUCCUGCUCCAUUACCAUCAAUGUGAAGAGUUUGAGGGGCUCUCCUGUCUGAACUUGACAUCUAAGGCCAAGGAUGUCAGGAAUACAAUUGCACAACUGAAGGACAUGGUGCAUCAGAUUAAGAAAGAGUGCAGACUGGCUGGGGGACAUUUUCUCCAGAUGGGGCCUUUCAGGCUGGGUGGGCUCUGUUUUAAUAACCAUUCUUUUGUUCUGUUUAGUCAUUUUAAUUGUCUGUGUUGCUGCCAGCAUCAUAUGGCAGCUAAUACUAAAAUUUCUUUAAAAUACUAAAAGAUGACAUCUUCCCCAAGCAUUAACUGAGUGCAAAUUCCAACAUCAGACCCGGAGGAAGAAGAUCAAGACUCCACCAAAGACCAUCUGGCUCCUGAGGAGGGCUGGUGGGCUUCUGCCCCACUAAGCUCAACCUUGGUUUGGGGACAUUUACUUAGAAUUUAACAAUCAAACUGAAUUUACUUCAUUUUAAGGACUUGUUUUCUCCCCUUGUGAUUAAUUUUAAACAAAAAAGGGAGAGAUGUUGUGUUGUGGUUUUUUUGGGUUUUUAGUUAUGCUAAGUUGUAUAUUGUAAGUUGGUUUGUUCCACUCACCCCUUUAGUUAUACAAUGGUUCUACCCAGGUUGCCUCCUCCCCCGCAAUCCUUGUCAGUCUCUCUGUCUCCUCCCCUGUUGCCCCAGUUACAAAUGCAUCUUUUGUUUUGACUGAGCCUGGUGCCCUGUCCAUCACUUGGCGACACAUCCUCUCCAUCUAGAAGCUUCUCUUCUGGGCAUCAAGUGAUUGGUUUAGGGGGUGGGGCCACUUCCCUAGUUACUUUCCAUUGGUCCCACAGCAGUGUCCUUCUUUCCUUUUCCACUCCUUCCUGCUCCUCUCUUGGUUGGAGGGCUGACUCCACCCCUGUUGCCACCCCCCUUUAUAAGUUGCUGUAAGCCUUUUCCCACUGUCUUCAGCUUAUAGACCUCCUAGACUUUUCAUCUCCCUGCUCCUCCCAAUAGACCCUGUUUCACCAGAAGUCGAAGCCCGCUUUC